CUGACCCGAACGGAUAGUAUCGUGAGGGUUUUUUUUUAGUUAGGUAAAAUGACGUUUGGUCGCUUUCCAAGUCUCAACUAAAGGUGAUCGGGGCUCAGCCUUCAGCAGCCCCAAGACCCCAUUCUUUUCCGCCGCAUCUCACCUCAUUCCUUUCCCCUAGUUCCUCUUCGCCUAGAACUUGGAUAUCCGGUUAUUACAUGACUGGCAUUAGGUCAACUGUCAGUUGACGAUAGACCCCAAAUAGGACAACAGCGGGCAAGUACAUUUACAACAAGAAUUUAAAUUUAAAUAGACUUCAACGGAUCGAGCCAUAAUAACAAAAAACAAGACAAAUUAACGCGAACAAAAGAACAAAAAUAUUUGUGUCACCCGUAGGAUUUGUUGCCGACUUUGAACACCAGAUUAAAGCGGUAACAAUUCUCCCCAGGUCGCAUAGAAAAAAUUUCGACAAGAAAUUUUUUUUAUCCAUCAUUCCAUGAUUCAACCCAAAUGAAACGUUUUCUCAAAGAUUGCCUCCAGAUCGGACCCUUAUUAUAUUUUUUCUUCGAUUGAGACGUUUUUCCAAACUGUUCGUAUUUCGUCACGUUCCCCUCCAUGUACUUCCAUAGAUUCCCUAUUUUUCAUAGACCAAUCCCCUUACACAUUGCUUCAUCUCCACAGGAAAACAAGACAUCCACUUUCCCAAAAUAUUAAAUAAUUUUCUAUCACUUCCCUAAAAAAGCAGGGAAAAACCUAAAAACCCAUACACUUUCAUUCAAAAUCUCCACUCACACACUUCAUUCAAUGGACGCGUCCUCCAAUUCACACACACAAAUCAGUCACACACACAUUCAUUCUUAAUUGCCUAAAUUUACAAAUUUCGAGAGACAAAAUAUAAACUGUCUCUUAUUUUCGGAAACAUCAGAAGGCUCAAUCGCCUCACCUUUAAAUUGACCGAAACAAUAUUUGUGACCAGGACUAAUGCGGGGUCAUAGGGCAUCAGUGUUGUAAUCAACUCCGCUCAAAUUUCAUUGCAGGCUCAGAAUCGAGCCGCCGAGUACUGACCAUCAGCGUCAUUGAAGACUCCGGUCUCCAGCGCACAGUUCUGAAUCACAACACGUUCGGUCAAUCCACUGGCACACGGUUGAACUACCAGAAGAUCCAAAAUUUAUCAAUGAAAAACUUUUCAUUGAAAAUUUUAUUUUAGUCUAAGCCUAGUUACGCCUCUGUUCGAAAUAAAUUUCUUUAAACGAAAGAGCGAUUACUAAACGCACCUUCCUCCCGAAUGGAGAUGCUAAUCGUGGAAUGAGCCACGUCUAAAUGAAACGGACUGGCUUUUCAGCCGGUUCGAUCUGUCAUCGUAAUGACGAAAACAAAACAACAACAUCGUUGUGCCAAUACUCGUGGGGUAUUACAACUAAAAGUUUCUAAAUUGGUGGAGUACUGAAAGCAGUGGAGUAGGAGAUUCGUGGCCCGGAGAAAGGAACCUUUUUUUAAGUUUUGGAGCAGGUGGCUGGAUGAUAUGUGAUGACUGCACUCGAUUUUGCUACGCGUAAUUCUAGAGGAUGAAAUAUGAGAUGUUUCAAUCGAACGGAUUCAUCACGCCUCAACUGAAGGCGCCAAACUCAGUUGUGUCUGGAGGAUGGAUUGUGCAGAUGGCUAGCAAUUCCGGACCGGACUGAAAGAGUCAUCGAUAGCUGGUGUUCACGCGGAAAAAAUUUAGGUUUAAGCUAGAAUAAGUUAGAUUAAGAAAGGCAUUACGCGGGUUUAAGGUGGGCGGCUGGCCACACCCCUAGAUUUUUGCCAUCGGUUCCCUCCAGCUCGUAGGAGGAUGAGCCGAUUCGUUUUUUCACGCGCGCUGGCAGGUACACCGGACCGUAUUUGGCAUUAUAGCCUUCCGUCGCGUUAGAUAAUUUCGUGUUUCGCCGGUAUACGAGUUGUCCAACUUCGAACGGUUUCGAAUUUUGUCGGUGGCGCAGAUUAUAUCGGUGUUUUCCGGAAUCGUGAGCUUUCGAGAGAUUGGUUUUUACCAGAUCAAAGAUUCUUUCGAAGAGCUCCUUACGAUUGUUCUCGCGCGCUUCAGGAUUCUCUAGUCCUUCAGCUUCAAACCACCGGUGGUCUGAACCUUUUGUAAAGGCCUCGUGGCCAUGUAUAACGAAAAACGGGGUUAAUUCGGUCGCGGCGUGUUUUGUCGUAUUGAGCACGGUUUCGAUUUGGGAAAUUCGGCUGUCCCAAAGUCGCUGGUCUUCUCGAACGUAGGUUCGGAUUGCGGCAUUUAUCGUUCGAUUUACUCUCUCGACAGGGUUUGCCUGCGAGUGAUAUUUCGAAUUUAACCAAUGCCGCACUCCGAACAGUUCGAGAAACUUUUUGAAUUCGCGCGAUAGGAACACAGACGCGUUGUCCGUGAUAAUCGUUUCCGGGGUCGAAAAUCGGAAGAACCAUUGGUCGCGUAGGUGGGUGCAGAGGUUGGUGCUUUCGAUCCUCCGAACAGGAACAAGCAUGCACCACUUACUAAAAAGAUCGGUUACCACCAGAAGGUGUUGGUUUCCUUUUCGGCUUCGUGGCAAGGGACCGAUAAAGUCGACGGCGAUUAUCUGCCAGGGGUGGGUCGUUAUUCUCUGUUCUCCCAUUAUGGGAACUACCGGAACAGAAGCGGGUUUCGUUUCUUUGCACAACGUGCAUGAUUUAACAUAUUCUUUUAUUUCUUUCGCCAUUUUUGGCCAGUAGUACUUCUGUUUCACUUUAGCCAACAUUUUAUCAGUGCCAAUGUGCAUUGAUUCGUCAUGGCACUCUUUUAGGAUAGGCUCACGUUUUUCGGGUGGAAUUACUAGUUUCCAUUCGAACCGAUGAUCG